AUUGAACGCUGGCGGAAUGCUUUACACAUGCAAGUCGAACGGCAGCACGGGUGCUUGCACCUGGUGGCGAGUGGCGAACGGGUGAGUAAUACAUCGGAACGUACCCUGAUGUGGGGGAUAACGUAGCGAAAGUUACGCUAAUACCGCAUACGUCCUGAGGGAGAAAGCGGGGGAUCGCAAGACCUCGCGCGUUAGGAGCGGCCGAUGGCGGAUUAGCGAGUUGGUGGGGUAAGGGCCUACCAAGGCCACGAUCCGUAGCGGGUGUGAGAGGCCGACGCGCAAAGCGGGACCUGAGACACGGUCCAGACUCCUACGGGAGGAGGCAGUGGGGAAUUUUGGACAAUGGGCGAAGGCCUGAUCAAGCCAUUCCGGGGGCAGGAUGAAGGCCCUCGGGUUGUAAAUUGUUUUUGUACAGAACGAAAAGGUUUCUACUAAUACUAGGAGCUCAUGACGGUACUGUAAGAAUAAGCACCGGCUAACUACGUGCCAGCCGCCGCCGUAA
rnacentral:rRNA from 1 species